AAUCAAGUGCCUUAAGGGUGUUCGGUGGAUGCCUUGGCGCUGAGAGGCGAUGAAGGACGUGCUACGCUGCGAUAAGCCGUGGGGAGCUGCGAAGAAGC
rnacentral:rRNA from 1 species